rnacentral:rRNA from 1 species
AUGGACGGCAACAAGACUGCCGCCCGGCCGGCCAGCCUACGGGCGUUCUACAUCGCCCGCGCCACCGUCGUCGUCUUCGCCUUGGCCACAGCGGCCGACUACGUACUCGACCGCUACCACCUCUGCAGCAGCCAGAGCCAGGCUUCCUUCCUCCUGCCGUGCGUCAGGGCGACGGCGGCGGCCGCCGCGGAGUGGAGGGCCCUCUGGCUCGGCAUGCUCUUCUGCGCAGUGCUCGAGGCGGCCGUCGCGGCGCUGGCGCUGCGGCUCCCAUGCCGCCACCGCGCCCUCGCCUACCUCCACCGCGCGCUGACCAUCGUCCGCCACUACAUGUACGUCCGCGCCGCCCGCAUCUUCCUCGCCGCCGACCCAGGAGUCUACCUCACCGGGAUCUGCAUCGGGAGCGCCUGCAACUUCAUAACGGACGACGUCUUCAGCUUCAUGGGGCUUUUCCCUCCGUCCGCCAUGGACGCCAAGAGGACUGCCGUCGGGCGCGCCAGCGUAACGGCGCUCGUCACCGCCUGCGUCACCGUCGUCGCCUACGCCUUGGCCACAGCGGCCGAGUACGCACUCGACCGCUACCACCUCUGCAGCCAGGCUUCCUUCCUCCUGCGCUGCGUCAGUGUGACGGCCGCCGAGUGGAGGGCCCUCUGGCUCGCCAUGCUCUGCUGCACGGUGCUCGAGGCGGCCGUGGCGGCGCUGGCGCUGCGGCUCCCAUGCCGCCGCCGCGCCCUCGCCUGCCUCCAGCUCGAGGUCACCAUGGUCCGCCACUGCAUGUGCGCCCGCGCCUUCCUCCUCCCCCUCGCCGCCGACCCGGAAUAUCUAGUCGGCACGAUCUGCAUCGGGUUCACCUUCUGCUUCGCAGCGAACGACGUCGCCAACUUCGUGCACUUUCUCCGUGGAGGUGACAACUGA